GAUGAACGCUGGCGGCGUGCCUAAUACAUGCAAGUCGGGCGAAUGGAUUAAGAGCUUGCUCUUAUGAAGUUAGCGGCGGACGGGUGAGUAACACGUGGGUAACCUGCCCAUAAGACUGGGAUAACUCCGGGAAACCGGGGCUAAUACCGGAUAACAUUUUGAACCGCAUGGUUCGAAAUUGAAAGGCGGCUUCGGCUGUCACUUAUGGAUGGACCCGCGUCGCAUUAGCUAUUUGGUGAGGUAACGGCUCACCAAGGCAACGAUGCGUCGCCGACCUGAGAGGGUGAUCGGCCACACUGGGACUGAGACACGGCCCAGACUCCAACGGGAGGCAGCAGUAGGGAAUCUUCCGCAAUGGACGAAAGUCUGACGGAGCAACGCCGCGUGAGUGAUGAAGGCUUUCGGGUCGUAAAACUCUGUUGUUAGGGAAGAACAAGUGCUAGUUGAAUAAGCUGGCACCUUGACGGUACCUAACCAGAAAGCCACGGCUAACUACGUGCCAGCAGCCGCCGUAA
rnacentral:rRNA from 1 species